GAGUUUGAUCGUGGCUCAGGAUGAACGCUGGCGGCGUGCCUAAUACAUGCAAGUCGAGCGAACGGACGAGAAGCUUGCUUCUCUGAUGUUAGCGGCGGACGGGUGAGUAACACGUGGGUAACCUACCUAUAAGACUGGGAUAACUCCGGGAAACCGGGGCUAAUACCGGAUAACACAUGAAACCGCAUGGUUUCAUGAUGAAAGACGGUCUUGCUGUCACUUAUAGAUGGAUCCGCGCUGCAUUAGCUAGUUGGUAAGGUAACGGCUUACCAAGGCAACGAUGCAUAGCCGACCUGAGAGGGUGAUCGGCCACACUGGAACUGAGACACGGUCCAGACUCCUACGGGAGGCAGCAGUAGGGAAUCUUCCGCAAUGGG
rnacentral:rRNA from 1 species